GGAAUUUUGGACAAUGGGCGAAAGCCUGAUCCAGCCAUUCCGCGUGCAGGAUGAAGGCCCUCGGGUUGUAAACUGCUUUUGUACAGAACGAAAAGGUUUCUAUUAAUACUAGAAGCUCAUGACGGUACUGUAAGAAUAAGCACCGGCUAACUACGUGCCAGCAGCCGCGGUAAUACGUAGGGUGCAAGCGUUAAUCGGAAUUACUGGGCGUAAAGCGUGCGCAGGCGGUUAUAUAAGUCAGAUGUGAAAUCCCCGGGCUCAACCUGGGAACUGCAUUUGAGACUGUAUAGCUAGAGUACGGUAGAGGGGGAUGGAAUUCCGCGUGUAGCAGUGAAAUGCGUAGAUAUGCGGAGGAACACCGAUGGCGAAGGCAAUCCCCUGGACCUGUACUGACGCUCAUGCACGAAAGCGUGGGGAGCAAACAGGAUUAGAUACCCUGGUAGUCCACGCCCUAAACGAUGUCAACUGGUUGUUGGGUCUUAACUGACUCAGUAACGAAGCUAACGCGUGAAGUUGACCGCCUGGGGAGUACGGCCGCAAGGUUGAAACUCAAAUGAAUUGACGG
rnacentral:rRNA from 1 species